rnacentral:rRNA from 1 species
UGGGGAAUAUUGCGCAAUGGGCGAAAGCCUGACGCAGCGACGCCGCGUGAGGGAUGAAGGUCUUCGGAUCGUAAACCUCUGUCAGGAGGGUAAGAAGUGGUUAUAUGCGAAUAGUGUAUUGACUUUGACGGUACCUCCAAAGGAAGCACCGGCUAACUCCGUGCC